GACAGAGGGUGCAAACGUUGUUCGGAAUUACUGGGCGUAAAGCGCGUGUAGGCGGCUUUGCAAGUCGGGCGUGAAAUCCCAUGGCUCAACCAUGGAAGUGCACUCGAAACUGCAGAGCUAGAGUCCUGGAGAGGAAGGUGGAAUGCUUGGUGUAGAGGUGAAAUCCGUAGAUAUCAAGCGGAACACCGGUGGCGAAGGCGGCCUUCUGGACAGUGACUGACGCUGAGGCGCGAAAGCGUGGGGAGCAAACAGG
rnacentral:rRNA from 1 species